rnacentral:tRNA from 2 species
GUGGAGAUGGGGCUGUGGAGCCCCGCCCGUCUGUAAAACGGGAGCUCCGGCAAAGGCGGUUCGACUCCGUCCUCCACC